AUUGAACGCUGGCGGCAUGCUUUACACAUGCAAGUCGAACGGUAACAGGCCUUCGGGUGCUGACGAGUGGCGAACGGAUGAGUAAUGCAUCGGAACGUACCCAGAGGUGGGGGAUAACGCAGCGAAAGCUGUGCUAAUACCGCAUGUGAUCUGAGGAUGAAAGCGGGGGACCGAGCAGCAAUGUUUGGCCUCGCGCCUUUGGAGCGGCCGAUGUCGGAUUAGCUAGUUGGUGGGGUAAAGGCCUACCAAGGCGACGAUCCGUAGCUGGUCUGAGAGGACGACCAGCCACACUGGGACUGAGACACGGCCCAGACUCCUACGGGAGGCAGCAGUGGGGAAUUUUGGACAAUGGGCGCAAGCCUGAUCCAGCAAUGCCGCGUGCGGGAAGAAGGCCUUCGGGUUGUAAACCGCUUUUGGCAGGAACGAAACGGUGUCCGCUAAUACCGGGCGCUAAUGACGGUACCUGCAGAAUAAGCACCGGCUAACUACGUG
rnacentral:rRNA from 1 species